rnacentral:rRNA from 1 species
UACAGAGGGUGCGAGCGUUAAUCGGAGUAACUGGGCGUAAAGGGCGCGUAGGCGGUGAGAUGUGUGUGAUGUGAAAGCCCCGGGCUUAACCUGGGAAGUGCAUCGCAAACUAUCUGACUAGAGUAUAUGAGAGGGUGGCGGAAUUUCCGGUGUAGCGGUGAAAUGCGUAGAGAUCGGAAGGAACGUCAAUGGCGAAGGCAGCCACCUGGCAUAAUACUGACGCUGAGGCGCGAAAGCGUGGGGAGCGAACAGG